UCUGUCUUGGACAGUCCCACAGUCCAUGGGAGCUGGGCUGGGAGAUGGUGCAGAUCCAACAGCACAACAGGAAUCCUGCUCUGUUCUUCCUGCUGCCAAACCCCCUGCCAGAUGGCCAGGAAUGGGAUCCCCCACGUUCUCCUGUGAGUCUGAGGAGACAAGAAAAUAAACAUGGAAAAUGUCUGUGGUGAUGGAAUCGGAUUGGCUCUGCCUCAUGAGCUGCUCAGCACCACCUGCCCUGG